CACAUUUGUGGUCGGGCGUGUGUCAGGCCCAUCUACCAGGCGUCAAGGUGGCUUCCGCAGACGGGUACCUAACACUAGUAUACCACCUCUCUUGGACUUGCCCAAGCCUACAUUUUCAGGGCAGUGUAGGAACCAGCUACAUUUGUAGCUCAGA